ACUGAAUCUAAACCCUAAGACCUUCACGCGGUAACGAGUCUACAUUGAGAUUUAUCAGAAUUUAUGUACUAUUUUGCACCCUUCAUUUCCGGUUCCAGGGAUCAGAGCACCGCCAGUAGGUAUCACUCCGACGGCAUUCCCCUCCGCCUCCCUCCGGAGUCGUGUCGGAAGCGGUCUGAUGAGAGUGACGAAGAUGACAAGAUAAGAAAGCUGAGAGAAAAUCAGACUCUUCAGAAGGUUUCUUCUUUCAUUUCCUUCCUUUUCAUCUACUGAAGGCCGCUCAUCAUCUUUAAUAGGAAGAAAUGAAGUAUAUGGAGGAAGGUACCUGAAAAUAAGUUAGAGGAAGAACUAUCAUUGAAGAAAUGAAUGGCAUGAUAAAUUUGUUAGUUCA